rnacentral:rRNA from 1 species
CCUACGGGAGGCAGCAGUGAGGAAUAUUGGUCAAUGGGCGAGAGCCUGAACCAGCCAAGUCGCGUGAAGGAUGACUGCCCUAUGGGUUGUAAACUUCUUUUACAGGGGAAUAAAAUGAGAUACGUGUAUUUUAUUGCAUGUACCUUGUGAAUAAGCAUCGGCUAACUCCGUGCCAGCAGCCGCGGUAAUACGGAGGAUGCGAGCGUUAUCCGGAUUUAUUGGGUUUAAAGGGUGCGUAGGUGGGCUGUUAAGUCCGCGGUGAAAGUUUGUCGCUUAACGAUAAAAUUGCCGUUGAAACUGGUAGUCUUGAGUAUAGAUGAAGUAGGCGGAAUGCGUGGUGUAGCGGUGAAAUGCAUAGAGAUCACGCAGAACUCCGAUUGCGAAGGCAGCUUACUAAGGUAUAACUGACACUGAAGCACGAAAGCGUGGGUAUCAAACAGGAUUAGAUACCCCAGUAGUC